AGGGUCGGCUUGCUCAGAGGAGCAGAGAGGUCAUUGGAUCAACAACAACGCCCCAAUUGAUGUUUCUUGGCUUGCGAUGAGGACUCUUUCAACUUUUGAACAAAAUUAAAAGUUGAAUCAGUAUGACAGGAUCGAGCGAGCUAGGAUAAGGCCCUAUCCCUCGACUCCUCUCAGCUAUAAUCCGUGGGGUUACGUAGGCGUGCCACUAUUGGAUAUGAGACC
rnacentral:lncRNA from 1 species